AGCGUCUGGGGAGUUUUAUCACUGAGUCGGGCUGUCCGGGGGACGGGGGAAUUGUGCUCAAAGAGCCCCCGUUGACGUUGAAUAGGUGUCAAUGUCAAUAGGGCAGGACAUGAGAGGAGCAGAGAAGAAAACGGUCCCGCCAGUGUUGCACGGGCGGCGGGCCUCUUGCAAUCCCUCUAUGUAGGUAAACUUUAUGUCUCAUCAUGAAGAACUUUAUUAUACGGUAUCACAUUCCUGUCAAGGUGCGACUCGUAGGGAUUAAUGGAGCUUCAAUGGCACUCAAGUAAACCAAGGUGUCACAUGGUGUGCAAGAAUUUGCAUCAUUCGGGUCCUCUGCAGCUCAUGAGAAGACCAAAAGUAAAUUCACUUGUGUAUUUUUCUGUAUACUGUAUUUGAUGAUCUUUCAAGUAUGACUGAGGGGGUUUAAAAUCUUGGUACAAUCCUGUUACCUAUUUUUUUUUACAUUUUUAUUUUUAAGACAUUUUUUGUUGUUGUUGUUGAAUCACUCUAAUGCGAUCAAUGUCAACGUGCUGUUAGCAUACCAUAAUUGCCAUGUGGCCACCUAUCUGCUAAUUCUCUGCUCACGUUACUUUCAGUAUCAUUACUCAAAUAAGCGGAACACAUUUUGAGAAGUUCUGUAUGUGUAUUACCAGAUUAAGAGUGAUAUAAAAAAACCAUACAUUUGUGUUUGCAAUAUUUUGAAAGUUACAUCAAGCAAAUUGUCCCUUCCCAGCAACAACAAUUUAAUUGGAUGUAUUACAAAAAAUACCAACGGAAGAUGAUAAUGCUCCCUUUUGACUGACAUUGUCAAAGUUUUUUUUUGUAUUAAUUUUACAAUAUGGUUAUUAAGAUGUGUUUUGUUUGGAGUGCUCAUGCAAUGCACUGCAUGAUAGCGUUCCAUAGCGGUUCCUAUAGUAACAGUUUCGACUCCCAUGUUAACUAAAUGAGGCAGCAAAAUAUUAGAAACGCCUCAUAAUAUAAUGCAGUACAGAAGACGCCAACCACGAUAUUAAACAGGGUGUGAAAUUACUUACUUACUGACAUUCUCUCUCAAAUAUUAGCAUUAUUUUUAUUCUAUAUUAUUAUUAUUACUAUUAUGUAUCCAGCUCUUGGUCAGAAUGUUUUACAUCUUCAUUUUGUAGUCCAAAGCUUUAUUUUUAUUUCAAUUUUCAUACAUAACACACAUGUAGUUAAUGGAACUUCAUUACAGCCACUCCAGAUUGUGAAAUUAUUUUUUUCUCAACAUUCAUUUGUUCACAUUAUUUUCUGAUCUCUUUUAAAUAUU